rnacentral:lncRNA from 1 species
CUUGAAUUAGCUAUCAAAAACAUUUCUCGGUGUCCACGUCUAGUUGCUGCAGGUGAGGUCGCCCAAGCCUGACAGGUGGGAGCUGCUCGCACCCGGCAGUGGCGGGGGUGUGGCGGAGCAGGCCAGUGGAGACUGCGACGAUGAAGACGAAGACGGCUGUGAGGGAUCGGGCCGUGGAGAGGCCGGGCGGGCUGCGGAAACCCCACGCUGUUGAAAUUGGUUGUCGUUAUGAAAAUCAGCUUGUUCAGCUAUCAAGUAUUUCUGGAUUUCAUUUCCCUGGUUGUAAAAGAGAGUUGCUGCAGGUGAGGUCGCCCAAGCCUGACAGGUGGGAGCUGCUCGCACCCGGCAGUGGCGGGGGUGUGGCGGAGCAGGCCAGUGGAGACUGCGGCGAUGA